rnacentral:tRNA from 1 species
GCCUGGCUAGCUCAAUCACGAGCGUGUGACUCUUAAUCUCAGGGUUGUGAGUUCAAGCCCCACACUGGGUG